rnacentral:misc_RNA from 1 species
GAUGAAGACGUAGCGAAAUGCGAUAAGUAAUGUGAAUUGCAGAAUUCAGUGAAUCAUCGAAUCUUUGAACGCACAUUGCGCCCCCUGGUAUUCCGGGGGGCAUGCCUGUUCGAGCGUCAUUUCACCACUCAAGCCUCGCUUGGUAUUGGGCAACGCGGUCCGCCGCGUGCCUCAAAUCGACCGGCUGGGUCUUCUGUCCCCUAAGCGUUGUGGAAACUAUUCGCUAAAGGGUGUUCGGGAGGCUACGCCGUAAAACAACCCCAUUUCUAAGGUUGACCUCGGAUCAGGUAGGGAUACCCGCUGAACUUAAGCAUAUCAAUAAGCGGAGGA